CUUAGGAGAGUGGGCCCAGCACAUUGCCAAAGUGGUGGAGCCCCAAGGAUGUGAGUGUGGGGGAGCUGGCUCCACAACCUGUCUGCUGUGUGGCAGUGUGGGUGAGGGAGAAAUACUGCCACUCAGCUGCCCCAGGAUGCUGCAGAGCUAGAGAGCAGGACCUGUACCUCGCUUGCCUGAGCAGCACAGUAGAGCUGGUCCUGGAUAUAGAGUUGCAGGAUGAAGACUGGCCCAGAAGAUAAACGGCUUGAUUAAUGUGGGAGAGCUACAGAGUCUUUAGCUUUUGUUCCUCUAGCUGGCAGACAUAGUUGACAAGGCAUGCUGGGUGGAUAGCACACCUCUGAAAGAGCCAGCAUCCUGUGGCAGCGGAAUGGCAGCAGCUAGUCAUAGCCAUAGUUUUAUAGCCUGUCUUCCUGGAUGGCCUCUGAAACCCUGGGCUGAAGCAUGCCUUGUUUGUUGAGACAGCACCACUUUUCAGACAUUCUUCUAGUUCACCUUCAAGAUGAGUCUGGCUCCUACUUGACUACAGGUUUCCUCUUCUAUGAGAAUCUCUGCUUAUGGUUGGGAGUUCUCGCAAUCCACACUCAUCUGGAAAACAGAUGAAGCAGUAGAGAGAGAACUAGCAUGGCAGAAACAUGGAAAUACAAGCAUCCAUUGUCUGAUGCAAGACACAGCUGAGGACACAUUGCCACGCUAUGCAGCCUCUGUUUUUCACUGAUCCCCACAGCUCCAUCUAUUGGACUUGAUUCACAGCUACCCCACCAAGCUGGAGAGAGGUGUUUCUACUCCCCAGGCUCUGAAGAAGGUGAGCCCUAUCCUUCCAGGGGAUUACACUGAAGAGGAACGACUUUCAGGCCAGUGGGAUAUGUUGCAAGUCCCAACAUAUCCCACUCUCCCUACUAAGUCACUUUCCCUCUUUGAAACAUCCCAAUGUAACAGCUGAAUAUGAAUUAACAAUUGAGACUCUUCU